GCAGUCUUAGUAUAGUGGUUAGUACAGCUCGUUGUGGUUCAUUUCUACAUCUGAGCCAUUGGCUUCAGUGCCGAGCAGACGGAUGUUCGAUUCCUCCAGACUGCA